rnacentral:rRNA from 1 species
UACGUAGGGUGCAAGCGUUGUCCGGAAUUAUUGGGCGUAAAGAGCUCGUAGGCGGUCUGUCGCGUCUGCUGUGAAAUCUCAGGGCUUAACCCUGAGCUUGCAGUGGGUACGGGCAGACUAGAGUGCGGUAGGGGAGACUGGAAUUCCUGGUGUAGCGGUGAAAUGCGCAGAUAUCAGGAGGGAACACCGGUGGCGAAGGCGGGUCUCUGGGCCGAUACUGACGCUGGAGGAG